AUGGAGAUUUUCUAUUUAUGUUUUUAUAAAUAUUUCUAGUACAUUUGAAUUGAGUUCUGACUACCUGCUCUAUAUAAUUUCAAUUUUUAAUUAAUUUGUUGAGACUUACUUUUAAGGUCAUAGAUAUAGCCAAUCUGAAAAUUUUGAAGUACACAGGAGUUGGCUGUAGUGUUUUAUUUAUAUAUAGUUACAUACAAACCACAUUCCUGACUUUAUUCAAAAGUUAAUCUGUAUUGACUUUUGCCUGCUUAGAUGUCAAUUACUGACAAGAUGCACUAAAAUUCUCUACAGACUUGACAGUUUCUGGUAAGUUCUAUCAACUUCUGCUUUAUAUUACAUAUAUUCAGAUUAUGUUAAUAGAUUCACCCAAAGUUACUACCGUAUCUUUACACUGACCUGAACUUUUAUCAUUACGAAGUGACCCUCUUCUCUAGAAUGCUUUUUUGGGGUCUUAAAUGUAACAUUAAUAUGAGACCAGUUUUCUUUUAAUAUUAUUUCUGUAACAAAUCUUCUAGCCUUUUACUUCUACCUUUUUUGUCUCCUGUAAACAGCACAAGAGUUGAAUUUUUAAUAUCUAGUAUGAUACCUUUAUGUUCUAACUGGAGUAUUUAAUUACUAAAUACAUUACAUUUAACAUGAAUGAUAUCUGAGUUUGAAUCCACAACCUUGUUUUGUGCUAUUUUCCCACCUGUCCUGGGUUUCUUCUUGUCCCCUUUCUCAUCUCUUUUUGGAUUAUUUACAAUCCUCCAUUUCCCCCUCUACUACCACAGAAGUCAGUCACUAUUUCCAUUCUUUACUACCUUAAAAAAACAGUGAUAUGCAAGGCUCACAAAAUUCAAAGCUAAACAAAAUCUAUAUCCUCUCCAUUAAUUCCAUUAUCUCUUCCAACUUAAAUGUUAUUAUUUUCAUGUAAUUUAAUCUUGGACUUUUUUCUGGCCUCCCCAACAUUAUUAAUAUUCUACAUUUACUUUGAAUUUUCUAAAUAUUUACCACCUUCUUUAUUCUUCAUUGCCUGUUACAUCUGACUUUUUCCACUCGGCAUCAACUUCUAAGAAUAGCCUUGAGAAUUUCCUUUAGUGAAGAUCUGUCAGUAGCUGCCUUGGUUUUUGUCUUAAAAAUGAUCUUCUUUUCACCCUCACUGUCGAAUUUUCCCCUCUAGUUGCUGGAUCACUAAACUAUCUACAUGUGGACUUAUUUUUAUUUAUCCUGCCUGGGCUUUUGCUUUUGUUUUUGGGUGGGAGUCUUAUCCAUUCUACAAAAUUUUUAGGCAUCAGCUCUACAAACCCCGGUUCUGUCCUCAGACAAACCUCUCAGCCUAUUCUCCCUGAUUCUUAAUUGGUCUUAGAAAUUACUCCUCGAUUGGUUCUUUAAGAUGAAUUCUGUAUAUUUUUUCUUCUGCUCCAUCUUCCAGUUAAUUUAUUAUCUUCAGUUCUAAGCUGCUAAUAAACCUAUCUCUUGGAUUUUUAUUGCAACUAUUAAACUUUUUGUAUCUAUAAGUUGUACAUGGUUUCCUGAAGUUUUCUAGGUCAUUUUAUAGUUUCUUGGUCCUUGUAGAUAUUUUCAAUCUUGCCUUUUACUUUAAGUAUAGUAAGGCAUUAAACAACUCCAUUAUCUUACGUUCUCACAGGUCUGUUCUUGCUGGCCUCCCUCACCGGGCUUUGAAUCUUCUGUGUUCAGUUAUUUAUAACUAUUGACUGCUCACUUUCCUCCCUGAACCUGAGAUAGUCCUUCAAAGAUCUGCUUAUUUGUGGCCUGGUCCACAGCACUGUCCUCCCAGGUCAACUCUAAAAUAAACACUCUUAAAUAAAAUCAGCUUGAGAAAUCCCCACCCGACUCAGGCUAUGUGAUCUGCACACAGGACAACUUAUAAUGCCCACUACUCAGGAGGCACCCUCCCACCUGCCCUGCUUCUAGAGUGGGAAGAGCACUUAGCUUGAAGGCUCAUAGUCCUUCAUGGUUCUAAUUCUCUGGGCGCAGGCCUCCCAUCAAGCCACAAACUUUGAUCUCUACCCCUAGUGCCUGCCAAUGCCAUCAAAACUCAAGACUUCCCAGUUUGCCAAAGGCCCUCAGAGUACUUCUUACUCUCCUAGCUUACUCCUUUCGACAUCUCUUUCUCAAUAUCUUGCAAAGCAUUCGAUGCUUUUCACAAGGUAGAUUUUUAUCUAUUAUCUAGCACGUGCCCUGGCCCAAAAUCAAGUCAGAAAACUGUUCCAGACAAUCCAGCCCCUCCUAUCACCAAAAACCCAGUGUCCCCCUUCCAUCCUUAAGCUAAUUGAUAUUUGGCAUUGUUGCCACUAACAGUGAAACCAAAUCCAAGCUGAUCAAGCUCUUACAAGAAAAGCAAGAGCGGAAUAGUCAGACUCCAGACGUUCACCAUGAAGUUCAAUCCCUUCGUGACCUCGGACUGCAGCAAAAACCACAAACGACAUUUUAAUGCCCCCUUGCAUGUACGCAGGAAGAUCAUGUCGUCUCUGCUAUCCAAAGAGCUUCGGCAGAAGUACAACAUGUGCUCCAUGACCAUCCGCAAGGACAAUGAAGUCCAGGUGGUUCGAGGACACUAUAAAGGUCAGCAAAUUGGCAAGGUAGUCCAGGUGUACAGAAAGAAAUACGUCAUCUACAUUGAGUGGGUGCAGCGUGAGAAGGCUAAUGGCACAACUGUCCACGUGGGCAUUCACCCAAGCAAGGUGGUUAUCACCAGGUUAAAACUGGACAAAGAUCGGCAAAAAAUUCUUGAACACAAAGCCAAGUCUCGACAAGUUGGAAAAGAGAAAGGCAAAUACAAGGAAGACCUUAUUGAGAAAAUGCAGGAAUGAAUAUAAUCUUUUGUGCAGCCAUGGUUUAACUGUAGUUUUUAGCCUAGCGUGUGUUUGGAACUUUUCAAAAAUGUACCUGGAAUAUUCCAUUUCCUUCCUGUUUUGUUGUUGACCUGUGGUUCUAUAAACCUACUCUUGCAAUUUUGAUUAAAAAUUUUAUGAAUAAAAAUUGGAAAUAUUUCUUAAUUCCAAA